UACGUAGGGUGCGAGCGUUAAUCGGAAUUACUGGGCGUAAAGCGUGCGCAGGCGGUUUUCCUAGUCCGUUGUGAAAGCCCCGGGCUCAACCUGGGAAUGGCAGUGGAAACUAGGGGACUGGAAUCUGGCAGAGGGGGGUGGAAUGCCGCGUGUAGCAGUGAAAUGCGUAGAGAUGCGGCGGAACACCGAUGGCGAAGGCAGCCCCCUGGGCUGAGAUUGACGCUCAGGCACGAAAGCGUGGGGAGCAAACAGG
rnacentral:rRNA from 1 species